rnacentral:misc_RNA from 1 species
GUGAAUCAUCGAAUUUUUGAACGCAGAUUGCACUUUCUGGUAUUCCGGAAAGUAUGCCUGUUUGAGUGUCAUUUAACUAUACAUCGGUGUUGUUGCUGCUUUUCGUGGUGACGCGUGGGAAUUGAGUGGUCUUACUUUUGGGUACGUGACUUAAAAUUUUGCAUGAUUUUCUAACGUAUUUAAUUUUCUUACGUACGUUUGAGUUAUCGUAUACUUUUUUAGGUUCGUUUAUCCUCAAUCUUCGCGCUUAUAAUUUUUCAUUAAA